rnacentral:rRNA from 1 species
AGGCCUACAGGCGACGACGGGUAGCCGGCCUGAGAGGGUGACCGGCCACAUUGGGACUGAGAUACGGCCCAGACUCCUACGGGAGGCAGCAGUGGGGAAUAUUGCACAAUGGGCGAAAGCCUGAUGCAGCGACGCCGCGUGGGGGAUGACGGCCUUCGGGUUGUAAACCCCUUUCACCAGGGACGAAGCGAAAGUGACGGUACCUGCAGAAGAAGCGCCGGCUAACUACGUGCCAGCAGCCGCGGGG